rnacentral:rRNA from 1 species
GUAAUACUGAUAGACUAGAGUAUAAUUGACGUACAUGGAAUGUAGCAUGUAGCGGUGAAAUGCAUAGAGAUGCUACAGAACACCGAUAGCGAAGGCAGUGUACGAAGAUAUAACUGACGCUCAUGCACGAAAGCGUGGGGAUCAAACAGGAUUAGAUACCCUGGUAGUCCACGCUGUAAGCGAUGAUAACUGGCUUUUGGCGAUACACAGUCAGAGGCUGAGAGAAAUCAAUAAGUUAUCCACCUGGGGAGUACGACGGCAACGUUGAAACUCAAAGGAAUUGACGGGGGCCCGCACAAGCGGAGGAGCAUGUGGUUUAAUUCGAUGAUACGCGAGGAACCUUACCCGGGCUUAAAUUGCAGAUGCUGUAUGUUGAAAGGCAUAUUUCUACGGACAUCUGUGAAGGUGCUGCAUGGUUGUCGUCAGCUCGUGCCGUGAGGUGUCGGGUUAAGUCCCAUAACGAGCGCAA